AGGACGACGCUGGCGGCGUGCCUAAUACAUGCAAGUCGAACGGUCUUUCUAUGGAAGCUUGCUCCACUGAGAAGAUAGUGGCGAACGGGUGAGUAACACGUGGGUAACCUGCCCAUAAGAGGGGGGAUAACAUCCGGAAACGGGUGCUAAUACCGCAUAGUUUUCUUGAUCGCAUGAUCGGGAAAGGAAAGACGGCCUUUGUGCUGUCGCUUAUGGAUGGACCCGCGGCGUAUUAGUUAGUUGGUGAGGUAACGGCUCACCAAGACGAUGAUACGUAGCCGACCUGAGAGGGUGAUCGGCCACAUUGGGACUGAGACACGGCCCAAACUCCUACGGGAGGCAGCAGUAGGGAAUCUUCCGCAAUGGACGAAAGUCUGACGGAGCAACGCCGCGUGAGUGAAGAAAGGUUUUCGGAUCGUAAAACUCUGUUGUCAGAGAAGAACAAGUUGGAGAGUAACUGCUCCAGCCUUGACGGUAUCUGACCAGAAAGCCACGGCUAACUACGUGCCAGCCGCCGC
rnacentral:rRNA from 1 species